rnacentral:lncRNA from 1 species
CACCACCACUACCACCAUCACGCGCUCCUUCCUUUCCCAUGUUGAGCAUGAGGUCAUGCUUAUUCUGGCCAUCUCCUCGUACUCUCCUGCUCUCACAACCUUCUUCACCUCUCGGCAACAACACAACCCUCUGUACAACACAAAAGGAUGAGUCUAGCAUAUGGCAUGGCAGCAUGGUCUAGAAUGGCAAUUACGGCACCAACGACCAUGUGUGGUGCGGUAGAGGUGCGAGGGUGCAUGGACCAUAGUGGUAUAGUAAUACAACGUUAGCGAAGUAAGUGGAGUGUGCAAUUUGCAAGUACUAGGUGGGAAGAGAAUUUGGGACAAGUUUAGGAAGCUGAAUGUGCAAUUCGAAAGUACUGGUAUCUAGAUAAAAACUUGGGACAAGUUCGAGGACUGCUAGUGAAGUUUACUCUUUUUCUUCCCUUCUGAAAUCAAAUAAUAAAG